UACGAAGGGGGCUAGCGUUGCUCGGAAUCACUGGGCGUAAAGCGCACGUAGGCGGAUUGUUAAGUCAGGGGUGAAAUCCUGGAGCUCAACUCCAGAACUGCCUUUGAUACUGGCGAUCUCGAGUCCGGGAGAGGUGAGUGGAACUGCGAGUGUAGAGGUGAAAUUCGUAGAUAUUCGCAAGAACACCAGUGGCGAAGGCGGCUCACUGGCCCGGUACUGACGCUGAGGUGCGAAAGCGUGGGGAGCAAACUGG
rnacentral:rRNA from 1 species